GACGAAGGGGGCUAGCGUUGUUCGGAAUUACUGGGCGUAAAGGGCGCGUAGGCGGCUUGGCAAGUUGGAAGUGAAAUCCCGAGGCUUAACCUCGGAACUGCUUUCAAAACUGCUAAGCUUGAGUGUAGUAGGGGAUGAUGGAAUUUCUAGUGUAGAGGUGGAAUUCUUAGAUAUUAGAAGGAACACCGGUGGCGAAGGCGAUCAUCUGGGCUACAACUGACGCUGAGGCGCGAAAGCGUGGGGAGCAAACAGG
rnacentral:rRNA from 1 species